AUUGAACGCUGGCGGCAUGCCUUACACAUGCAAGUCGAACGGCAGCACGGGAGCAAUCCUGGUGGCGAGUGGCGAACGGGUGAGUAAGUAUCGGAACGUGCCCAGUCGUGGGGGAUAACGUAGCGAAAGUUACGCUAAUACCGCAUACGAUCUAUGGAUGAAAGCGGGGGAACGCAAGACCUCGCGCGAUUGGAGCGGCCGAUAUCAGAUUAGGUAGUUGGUGGGGUAAAGGCUCACCAAGCCGACGAUCUGUAGCUGGUCUGAGAGGACGACCAGCCACACUGGGACUGAGACACGGCCCAGACUCCGACGGGAGGCAGCAGUGGGGAAUUUUGGACAAUGGGCGAAAGCCUGAUCCAGCCAUGCCGCGUGCAGGAUGAAGGCCUUCGGGUUGUAAACUGCUCUUGUACGGAACGAAAAGGUUUGGCCUAAUAAGCUGAGCUCAUGACGGUACCGUAAGAAUAAGCACCGGCUAACUACGUGCCAGCCGCCGCAGUAA
rnacentral:rRNA from 1 species